rnacentral:rRNA from 1 species
UACGUAGGGUGCGAGCGUUGUCCGGAAUUAUUGGGCGUAAAGAGCUCGUAGGCGGUUUGUCGCGUCUGCUGUGAAAACGCGAGGCUCAACCUCGCGCCUGCAGUGGGUACGGGCAGACUAGAGUGUGGUAGGGGAGAUUGGAAUUCCUGGUGUAGCGGUGGAAUGCGCAGAUAUCAGGAGGAACACCGAUGGCGAAGGCAGAUCUCUGGGCCAUUACUGACGCUGAGGAGCGAAAGCGUGGGGGAGCGAACAGG